ACGCGAAGAACCUUACCCGGCCUUGACAUCUAUGGAAUCCUGCAGAGAUGUGGGAGUGCCUUCGGGAGCCAUAAGACAGGUGCUGCAUGGCUGUCGUCAGCUCGUGUCGUGAGAUGUUGGGUUAAGUCCCGCAACGAGCGCAACCCUUGUCCUUAGUUGCCAUCAUUCAGUUGGGAACUCUAAGGAGACCGCCGGUGACAAACCGGAGGAAGGUGGGGAUGACGUCAAGUCAUCAUGGCCUUUAUGGCCGGGGCUACACACGUGCUACAAUGGCAGGUACAGAGGGACGCCAACGCGCGAGCGGGAGCCAAUCCCAGAAAUCCUGUCGUAGUCCGGAUCGGAGUCUGCAACUCGACUCUGUGAAGUCGGAAUCGCUAGUAAUCGCAGAUCAGCAUUGCUGCGGUGAAUACGUUCCCGGGUCUUGUACACACCG
rnacentral:rRNA from 1 species